AACGAACGCUGGCGGCAGGCCUAACACAUGCAAGUCGAGCGAGACCUUCGGGUCUAGCGGCGGACGGGUGAGUAACGCGUGGGAACGUGCCCUUUUCUGCGGAAUAGCCUCGGGAAACUGAGCGUAAUACCGCAUACGCCCUUUGGGGGAAAGAUUUAUCGGAAAAGGAUCGGCCCGCGUUGGAUUAGGUAGUUGGUGGGGUAAUGGCCUACCAAGCCUACGAUCCAUAGCUGGUUUGAGAGGAUGAUCAGCCACACUGGGACUGAGACACGGCCCAGACUCCUACGGGAAGCAGCAGUGGGGAAUCUUAGACAAUGGGGGCAACCCUGAUCUAGCCAUGCCGCGUGAGUGAUGAAGGCCUUAGGGUUGUAAAGCUCUUUCAGCUGGGAAGAUAAUGACGGUACCAGCAGAAGAAGCCCCGGCUAACUCCGUG
rnacentral:rRNA from 1 species